rnacentral:rRNA from 1 species
AGAGUUUGAUCAUGGCUCAGAUUGAACGCUGGCGGCAUGCCUUACACAUGCAAGUCGAACGGUAACGCGGGGCAACCUGGCGACGAGUGGCGAACGGGUGAGUAAUAUAUCGGAACGUGCCCAGUAGUGGGGGAUAGCCCGGCGAAAGCCGGAUUAAUACCGCAUGAGACCUGAGGGUGAAAGCGGGGGACUCGCAAGAGCCUCGCGCUAUUGGAGCGGCCGAUAUCAGAUUAGCUAGUUGGUGGGGUAAAGGCCUACCAAGGCGACGAUCUGUAGCUGGUCUGAGAGGACGACCAGCCACACUGGGACUGAGACACGGCCCAGACUCCUACGGGAGGCAGCAGUGGGGAAUUUUGGACAAUGGGCGAAAGCCUGAUCCAGCCAUGCCGCGUGCGGGAAGAAGGCCUUCGGGUUGUAAACCGCUUUUGUCAGGGAAGAAAUCCUUUGGGUUAAUACCUCGGAGGGAUGACGGUACCUGAAGAAUAAGCACCGGCUAACUACGUGCCAGCAGCCGCGGUAAUACGUAGGGUGCAAGCGUUAAUCGGAAUUACUGGGCGUAAAGCGUGCGCAGGCGGUUAUGCAAGACAGGUGUGAAAUCCCCGGGCUUAACCUGGGAACUGCACUUGUGACUGCAUAGCUCGAGUACGGCAGAGGGGGAUGGAAUUCCGCGUGUAGCAGUGAAAUGCGUAGAUAUGCGGAGGAACACCGAUGGCGAAGGCAAUCCCCUGGGCCUGUACUGACGCUCAUGCACGAAAGCGUGGGGRGCAAACAGGAUUAGAUACCCUGGUAGUCCACGCCCUAAACGAUGUCAACUGGUUGUUGGACGGCUUGCUGUUCAGUAACGUAGCUAACGCGUGAAGUUGACCGCCUGGGGAGUACGGCCGCAAGGUUGAAACUUAAAUGAAUUGACGG